AUUGAACGCUGGCGGCAUGCCUUACACAUGCAAGUCGAACGGCAGCGCGGGGCAACCUGGCGGCGAGUGGCGAACGGGUGAGUAAUAUAUCGGAACGUACCCUGGAGUGGGGGAUAACGUAGCGAAAGUUACGCUAAUACCGCAUACGAUCUAAGGAUGAAAGUGGGGGAUCGCAAGACCUCAUGCUCCUGGAGCGGCCGAUAUCUGAUUAGCUAGUUGGUGGGGUAAAGGCCUACCAAGGCAUCGAUCAGUAGCUGGUCUGAGAGGACGACCAGCCACACUGGAACUGAGACACGGUCCAGACUCCUACGGGAGGCAGCAGUGGGGAAUUUUGGACAAUGGGCGAAAGCCUGAUCCAGCAAUGCCGCGUGAGUGAAGAAGGCCUUCGGGUUGUAAAGCUCUUUUGUCAGGGAAGAAACGGUGAGAGCUAAUAUCUUUUGCUAAUGACGGUACCUGAAGAAUAAGCACCGGCUAACUACGUGCCAGCAGCCGCGGUAAUACGUAGGGUGCAAGCGUUAAUCGGAAUUACUGGGCGUAAAGCGUGCGCAGGCGGUUUUGUAAGUUUGUCGUGAAAGCCCCGGGCUCAACCUGGGAAUUGCGAUGAGGACUGCAAGGCUUGAAUCUGGCAGAGGGGGGUAGAAUUCCACGUGUAGCAGUGAAAUGCGUAGAGAUGUGGAGGAACACCGAUGGCGAAGGCAGCCCCCUGGGUCAAGAUUGACGCUCAUGCACGAAAGCGUGGGGAGCAAACAGGAUUAGAUACCCUGGUAGUCCACGCCCUAAACGAUGUCUACUAGUUGUCGGGUUUUAAUUAACUUGGUAACGCAGCUAACGCGUGAAGUAGACCGCCUGGGGAGUACGGUCGCAAGAUUAAAACUCAAAGGAAUUGACGGGGACCCGCACAAGCGGUGGAUGAUGUGGAUUAAUUCGAUGCAACGCGAAAAACCUUACCUACCCUUGACAUGUACGGAAGCUUGGAGAGAUCUGAGUGUGCUCGAAAGAGAGCCGUAACACAGGUGCUGCAUGGCUGUCGUCAGCUCGUGUCGUGAGAUGUUGGGUUAAGUCCCGCAACGAGCGCAACCCUUGUCAUUAGUUGCUACGAAAGAGCACUCUAAUGAGACUGCCGGUGACAAACCGGAGGAAGGUGGGGAUGACGCCAAGUCCUCAUGGCCCUUAUGGGUAGGGCUUCACACGUCAUACAAUGGUACAUACAGAGGGCCGCCAACCCGCGAGGGGGAGCUAAUCCCAGAAAGUGUAUCGUAGUCCGGAUUGUAGUCUGCAACUCGACUACAUGAAGUUGGAAUCGCUAGUAAUCGCGGAUCAGCAUGUCGCGGUGAAUACGUUCCCGAGUCU
rnacentral:rRNA from 1 species